AGGAGGUCUAACAGUUGGGGCGGGGUUUACAGGCUGACCUCUUCACCUGUGGAAAUGUGAAUUGAGAUUAGACAUUUCGGCGAUGAGAUCAGCCAGUAGAACCCAGUCCAGAGCGAACAAGGAUCAU
rnacentral:precursor_RNA from 12 species